rnacentral:rRNA from 1 species
AGUUGGAAACGACUGCUAAUACCGCAUACGAUCCAAUCUCGGCAUCGAGACUGGAUGAAAGGUGGCCUCUAUUUAUAAGCUAUCACUGAAGGAGGGGAUUGCGUCUGAUUAGCUAGUUGGAGGGGUAACGGCCCACCAAGGCGAUGAUCAGUAGCCGGUCUGAGAGGAUGAACGGCCACAUUGGGACUGAGACACGGCCCAGACUCCUACGGGAGGCAGCAGUGGGGAAUCUUCCGCAAUGGACGAAAGUCUGACGGAGCAACGCCGCGUGAGUGAUGACGGCCUUCGGUUGUAAAGCUCUGUUAAUCGGGACGAAUGGUUCUUGUGCGAAUAGUGCGAGGAUUUGACGGUACCGGAAUAGAAAGCCACGGCUAACUACGUGCCAGCAGCCGCGGUAAUACGUAGGUGGCAAGCGUUGUCCGGAAUUAUUGGGCGUAAAGCGCGCGCAGGCGGAUUGGUCAGUCUGAAGUUAAAGGCUGUGGCUUAACCAUAGUACGCUUUGGAAACUGUUUAACUUGAGUGCAGAAGGGAGG